GACGAACGCUGGCGGCGUGCUUAACACAUGCAAGUCGAACGGUAAGGCCCUUCGGGGCACACGAGUGGCGAACGGGUGAGUAACACGUGGGUGAUCUGCCCUGCACUUUGGGAUAAGCCUGGGAAACUGGGUCUAAUACCGAAUACACCCUGCUGGUCGCAUGGCCUGGUGGGGGAAAGCUUUUGCGGUGUGGGAUGGGCCCGCGGCCUAUCAGCUUGUUGGUGGGGUGAUGGCCUACCGAGGCGACGACGGGUAGCCGGCCUGAGAGGGUGUCCGGCCACACUGGGACUGAGAUACGGCCCAGACUCCUACGGGAGGCAGCAGUGGGGAAUAUUGCACAAUGGGCGCAAGCCUGAUGCAGCGACGCCGCGUGAGGGAUGACGGCCUUCGGGUUGUAAACCUCCUUCAAUAGGGACGAAGCGCAAGUGACGGUACCUAUAGAAGAAGCACCGGCCAACUACGUGCCAGCAGCCGCGGUAAUACGUAGGGUGCGAGCGUUGUCCGGAAUUACUGGGCGUAAAGAGCUCGUAGGUGGUUUGUCGCGUUGUUCGUGAAAACUCACAGCUUAACUGUGGGCGUGCGGGCGAUACGGGCAGACUGGAGUACUGCAGGGGAGACUGGAAUUCCUGGUGUAGCGGUGGAAUGCGCAGAUAUCAGGAGGAACACCGGUGGCGAAGGCGGGUCUCUGGGCAGUAACUGACGCUGAGGAGCGAAAGCGUGGGGAGCGAACAGGAUUAGAUACCCUGGUAGCCCACGCCGUAAACGGUGGGUACUAGGUGUGGGUUUCCUUCCUUGGGAUCCGUGCCGUAGCUAACGCAUUAAGUACCCCGCCUGGGGAGUACGGCCGCAAGGCUAAAACUCAAAGAAAUUGACGGGGGCCCGCACAAGCGGCGGAGCAUGUGGAUUAAUUCGAUGCAACGCGAAGAACCUUACCUGGGUUUGACAUGCACAGGACGCCGGCAGAGAUGUCGGUUCCCUUGUGGCCUGUGUGCAGGUGGUGCAUGGCUGUCGUCAGCUCGUGUCGUGAGAUGUUGGGUUAAGUCCCGCAACGAGCGCAACCCUUGUCUCAUGUUGCCAGCACGUUAUGGUGGGGACUCGUGAGAGACUGCCGGGGUCAACUCGGAGGAAGGUGGGGAUGACGUCAAGUCAUCAUGCCCCUUAUGUCCAGGGCUUCACACAUGCUACAAUGGCCGGUACAAAGGGCUGCGAUGCCGUGAGGUGGAGCGAAUCCUUUCAAAGCCGGUCUCAGUUCGGAUCGGGGUCUGCAACUCGACCCCGUGAAGUCGGAGUCGCUAGUAAUCGCAGAUCAGCAACGCUGCGGUGAAUACGUUCCCGGGCCU
rnacentral:rRNA from 1 species